UCUGCUCACGACGCAUUUGUCUUCAAUACAAGGUGGCAUACUUUUCUUGUUAUUACAUUACAUUACACUAACUUUAAUAUGCCUAUAUCUACUGUAUCUAGCUAUAUAGCCACUAAUCUAGUUCUUCUUUACUACUGCAGCGACCUGAACACUUAUCUGGAGGAGAGGAAUGUAAGUGGGUGGCUGCUUGGGGACUCUGGUUAUCCACUGAAGGCCUAUCUCAUGACCCCUGUGGUGGAUGAGCAGACUGACGCAGACAUGCGAUACAAUCGGGCCCAUAAAAAAUGUAGGGCGAGAAUAGAGCGGCUGUUUGGUGUUUGGAAAAGCAGAUGGAGGUGUCAUGAUGUGAGUGGAGGCUACCUACAAUACACGCCUGAGAAGGUGGUCCUAUUCAUUAAGGCCACAGCUGUACUGCACAACAUCUGUAGGCUGGCAAACGUACCAGAUCCUGAAGUAGACAUUAUUCAACAAGAGCACCCAGAAGAGGUGGAGGAGGCUCAUGCCAAUGGGCUGACUGUAAGGGCUCAGCUCAUAAGAGACUUUUUUACAAGGCCAUAAAUCAUUUGAAAAUAAAAUAAGAACUUAAAAAAAGUAAAUAAAAACACAUUCCAUAUUGGUAAAAUUAAUGCAUGUGAACUUAUUUAUUAUUUACAUUUCAAUUUCAUUUUCAAUUUCUUUUGAGAAUUUUCUCCUCUCCCAUUCAAAUUUUUCUCUUUCCAGAGCCAGUCGUUCCUUCUGUAACUCUAAAUGCUGACGGUACAGCUCCAACUUCUCCCUCUCUAUCUCAAUUAAGGCUUGAGUGUCCGUUUGCUGCCGUUUCUUUU